AGCGAACGCUGGCGGCGGGCCUAACACAUGCAAGUCGAACGAAGUCUUCGGACUUAGUGGCGGACGGGUGAGAAACACGUGGGAACGUGCCUUUAGGUUCGGAAUAACUCAGGGAAACUUGUGCUGAUACCGAAUGUGCCCUUCGGGGGAAAGAUUUAUCGCCUUUAGAGCGUCCCGCGUCUGAUUAGCUAGUUGGUGAGGUAAAGGCUCACCAAGGCGACGAUCAGUAGCUGGUCUGAGAGGAUGAUCAGCCACAUUGGGACUGAGACACGGCCCAAACUCCUACGGGAGGCAGCAGUGGGGAAUCUUGCGCAAUGGGCGAAAGCCUGACGCAGCCAUGCCGCGUGAAUGAUGAAGGUCUUAGGAUUGUAAAAUUCUUUCACCGGGGACGAUAAUGACGGUACCCGGAGAAGAAGCCCCGGCUAACUUCGUGCCAGCCGCCGCGGUAA
rnacentral:rRNA from 1 species